UUGGGGGUGACCAUAUGAAGAUCCAUCUAGCUGAUAUAUUUCUGCCACAACAUCACACAAUUUCUGCCACCUUUUGUGUGCCUGUCAUCUACUCUGCAGCUGCCAAAACCUUUGGCUAGUAUACCACAUCUUCUAAGAUGUAUGCAAUGAAAGCUUCUUCAGGCUUAUGUUGUUGCUGCCAUUAGGAGCAAUGUAACACCUUUGCCAGCUCUGGCUUACUGUUUCCCCUCACUUCUAACUGCAUGAUCAACUUUUAAAUGAAUGGCAUCUUUCUCUUCUUUGAUUACUCCCUGGUCAGGGCACUUUUUUUGGCUUUCAGAAAGGGCAGUUGGACCGACGCUUGUUUAGUAUCCUCUACAGCCAGCACAACAUGGUGGCUGGCUUUCACCAGUUCCUUGGAAGCACGGUGGCCUUAGGUCUCCAAACUUUAACCAAGCAAACACAUUGAUGUCACCCAAAAUAAAUUCAUAAGAGUGAGAAGUUUGGAAUAGAAACAUGUUUUCUGAGGGAUGGGGGGAAGAAGAUAGUGCAGUGCAUAUGUCUAUGAGUGGGACAUCUCCCAGCUCCAUGCUUUCCCAUUGUACUUCUAUGCUUUGGUUUCCCCUGCUGUAAAACAAGCAGAGUUUCAAGGAAAUUCUGCAGAAAUCAUAAGUCACAUGUAACAUUUUCAUUGCAUGGAUUAAGGCAGUAGUUAAGUGAUUACUUUCUAGAACAAAGUGGCUAUAUGAUUGGUUGUUAUUAUCCCAUGUAGCAGAGUUUUAAGGAGGCAAAAAGUCGAUCCAUAGAAGUGUGUGACAAAGUACCAGCUUUCAGUCCAGAGGCCAUGCAAAGAAUAUGGUUAUUUCAUAGGAUGAGUUCACUCUUUAAUGGAAACUAAUCCAUUUCAGAGAAACUAUCACAUAUAAUUUGGUGCAAUUGAACUAUGUCUUUAACCUUUUACUAUGAUUUAUGUGAUUAGGUCACCAGAGGAAGUGGUUUUGGAAAGCAUGAUUAAACACUUUAAGGAAAUAAUUUCUACCUUCAAGCACCUUGUGUAACUGCACUUUUCAAGUGUUUGUCCUUCCUCAUCAGCCUGGCUGCAUUGAAAUGCGGAAACAUGUCCUUCAAAAUGCUAUUCUAUUUUUUUUAAUAUAAAAACAGGUGAGAACAACUGAAGCUCCAGAUGAAUUGUUAUACUGAAUUUCUUCAGUUUUUACUCCAUAACUUGAGUUGCAAUAUCUGUUUAGCACAUUGCUAUUCGUUGUAAGCAUAGCAUAAUAAAUAUAAUUUUGGUGCAAUUUGUCUGCUGCAACUGACCAUUUUAGAACUAGUAUCUGAAUUUAUAGCCAGUAGAUAAUGCCUGAAGAAACAUAGACACCAAGGCACAGUUCAGAAAGAAGUAAUUUUGGAAUCAGCUCAAAUUCUCUGCUUAAUACCUUUACCUCUGUAAUGAACCUACAUUUCUGAAGAGGAUUCUAUGCUGUCCAAACAUGUCCUACCCUGUUUGGCUUCUGACAUCAAUGCCAACAGGCAGUGAGAGCUACAAGCUAUUCCAGUGGUGAACAGGUUGUGACCCAUCAAAGUUCACCAGCUCACUGAACAGUGAUUAACAUUUAAAAUGUAUGCAAACUAGUCUCCUAAUUAAAGUUCAAUAAUGCAAGGCUUUGAACCUUUUCAUUGCCUUUGGAAAUAAUCAGAGAAGAGAAGCAGGGUGCUUAUCAGCAGAAGUCAUUAUCAUAAAAGGCCAAAUUCAGCACAUCUCCAUUCCACAUCUUGAUGAUGUUGGCCAGUCAUGAAGAGAGACAGACACAGGUCACAAAAUAUGGAUGUGAACUGGGAAUAUACAGAUUCCCCUGGGUCACUGAAGCUUAUUUCCAUCUCAUACUUGGAAUUUGUUCCUUACAACUGAGGGAUCUGGUUGCAGCUCUGUUGUUAGGUUCAUGUUUAAACAUCAAAGCAAAGUUAAUUUUCCUCUACAAUUCUCAUAGCCUGUCACUGUUGAACUUCAGUGAGUGUAGCUAAUAAUUUUAAUAAUAGAUUUGUAAAGGGAGCUUAGCAACUCAAGUCGAAUCCCUGAGACCUCAGCUCUAAUCUAGGAUAUCUUGCCUGCUUAGCUGUACUUCUUUAUAUGACUCCUAUCCAGCUAUACUCUUCCUGUCUUUCAAUCUCUCUCUACAUGCAGCCAACAUCACAUAGGCUUUCCCCUGCUGCUAACACUGGGGAAGGAGUGUUAGUCUGGUGGACAGUAUUUGCAGGAAAUGGAGGAAGGUGGAUAAAGCAAUUUUUAGAGUACCUGUUCCGUAGUGCAAAAUUCAUAUCAUUGGUGUCCCUUAAUUUUCUUUAUCUCUGGGAGAUUGCCAGAAACCUUAUUUUCUUUUGUGUCUGUGCAUGUAUACAAAGAUAAAGAUUAGCUCCAAAAUCACAACUAGAAGUUGAAUUCUUCACAUCACCAUACAGCAUGGCAGAAAUUGAGGCGUAAUGUUCCAUAAAGGAUCAUGCUUUGUCUGAUUCAUCAUUUGCAUUGGAAAAAUUUUAAUCUUGUUUCUAUGUCAUACUGCUUCACUGUGAAACUUAGAAAGAACACAUUUCUGCGUGGCACCGAGAAUCAUUGGUACCCAAUUAACUGAAUAGCAUUUGGGGAUAUUUAACGGUUGAAGAAAAUUAAUGGUUUUUUUCCUCUUGUGACAUUUCAAUUCCCUUAUCUUACUAUCCCUUUGCAAGAUAUCUACUGUAUGGGACUUUCAUUCUCAUCUUCUCAGGAAACAACUGAAUACCUGAGAGGAAGAAGCAUAAAGACAGAUGUUUAAUCUCCUUGCUUCUUUCUUAUUGAUAUGUUCAUGUAAAGGAUCUGAAAGGUCCCAUGAGAUGACUCAAGAAAGGAAAGGAGCGUGGGCUCGGUGGCCUGACUAAUACACCUUCACUCAGUAAAUCACUGCAGUUUAAAUGCCAGUAGUAUAAGAAUUCACAGUAGCCUUGCUCUUUUCACAAUAGGGCUGGCAUGUAUACUUGCAAGUCACUGCACUUGAACAACAUUGUGCAUUGCUCCAUAAACUGCUUUGUGAUAACAUGUUUGUGGGAUAUUAAAUGUUAUAUAUCAGGAACCCUCA